AAGUUGGGUGGAAAUAUAUUAUGAAUUGUUUUAAGGAUCAAAUUGGUCAUACAUUAACGAAAGCAUAAUUAAAGAAUAAGUGGGACAAAAUUAAAAAAGAUUAGAGAAUAUGAAAAAAUGUUGAUUUCCAAAACAAGAGUAGGGUGGAGUGCUGAACUUGGAACAAUUGCGGCUUCUGAUGAAUGGUGGAAAGCUAAAAACCAGGAGAUACAUGGAGCAAGAAAGUUGAGGCAUGUUGGCAUCGAUCCAACAUUAUGUUGUCAAUAUAAUAUCAUGUUUAUAAACAUUGUUGCUACCGGUCAAUAUGCUUAGCCUCCAUCACAAGGUCUGAAUUUUGAUGAAGAUGGUGUCGGUCAAAGGCAAAUUAACAUAGUUAAUGAGGACACUCAUCUUCAGGAAGGUAAUGGAGAUUAUGAGGAGGAUAGUCUACUAAAUUUUGUUGUCAAUGUCAAUAAUAUGGUGGCUAGUGUCAAUUUUACCAACAACACAAGCAAUCUCACUGGUAGUAAUGGGAAGAGAAAAGGUGUGCACCAAAGUUCCCAA